UACAGGGGGGGCAAGCGUUGUUCGGAAUUACUGGGCGUAAAGGGUUCGUAGGUGGCCAACUUAGUCAGACGUGAAAUCCCUCAGCUUAACUGGGGAACUGCGUCUGAUACUGGAUGGCUUGAGUGCAGGAGAGGAACGCGGAAUUCCAGGUGUAGCGGUGAAAUGCGCAGAUAUCAGGAGGAACACCGGUGGCGAAGGCGGGUCUCUGGGCCGAUACUGACGCUGAGGAGCGAAAGCGUGGGGAGCGAACAGG
rnacentral:rRNA from 1 species